rnacentral:rRNA from 1 species
GGGUAAGGCCAUAACAGCACUAAUACACCGGAUCCUCUUUUCGCAGUUAAGCGUGCUUGGGUGAGAGUUGUUCUAAGAUGGGUAUCCUCUUUGGAAGUCGUCGUGUUGCACCCU